rnacentral:misc_RNA from 1 species
GAUGAGAUGAGAUGAGAUGAGAUGAGAUGAGAUGAGAUGAGAUGAGAUGAGAUGA